GCCCUUAGAGUUUGAUCAUGGCUCAGAGCGAACGCUGGCGGCAGGCCUAACACAUGCAAGUCGAACGAAGUCUUCGGACUUAGUGGCAGACGGGUGAGUAACGCGUGGGAACGUGCCCAUCGGUUCGGGAUAACCAAGGGAAACCUUGGCUAAUACCGGAUACGUGCGAGAGCAGAAAGAUUUAUCGCCGAUGGAUCGGCCCGCGUCUGAUUAGCUUGUUGGUGGGGUAACGGCUCACCAAGGCGACGAUCAGUAGCUGGUUUGAGAGGAUGAUCAGCCACACUGGGACUGAGACACGGCCCAGACUCCUACGGGAGGCAGCAGUGGGGAAUAUUGGACAAUGGGCGCAAGCCUGAUCCAGCCAUGCCGCGUGAGUGAUGAAGGCCUUAGGGUUGUAAAGCUCUUUUAUCCGGGACGAUAAUGACGGUACCGGAAGAAUAAGCCCCGGCUAACUUCGUGCCAGCAGCCGCGGUAAUACGAAGGGGGCUAGCGUUGCUCGGAAUCACUGGGCGUAAAGGGCGCGUA
rnacentral:rRNA from 1 species